UACGGAGGGUGCAAACGUUGCUCGGAAUCAUUGGGCGUAAAGCGCACGUAGGCGGUCUUUUAAGUCGGAUGUGAAAGCCCCAGGCUCAACCUGGGAAGUGCAUUCGAAACUGAAAGGCUAGAGUACGGAAGAGGGUCUCGGAAUUCCCGGUGUAGAGGUGAAAUUCGUAGAUAUCGGGAGGAACACCAGUGGCGAAGGCGGAGACCUGGGCCGAUACUGACGCUGAGGAGCGAAAGCGUGGGGAGCGAACAGG
rnacentral:rRNA from 1 species